AGAGUUUGAUCCUGGCUCAGGAUGAACGCUAGCGGCAGGCUUAACACAUGCAAGUCGAGGGGCAGCAUAAUGGAUAGCAAUAUCUAUGGUGGCGACCGGCGCACGGGUGCGUAACGCGUAUGCAACCUACCUUUAACAGGGGGAUAACACUGAGAAAUUGGUACUAAUACCCCAUAAUAUCAUAGAAGGCAUCUUUUAUGGUUGAAAAUUCCGAUGGUUAGAGAUGGGCAUGCGUUGUAUUAGCUAGUUGGUGGGGUAACGGCUCACCAAGGCGACGAUACAUAGGGGGACUGAGAGGUUAACCCCCCACACUGGUACUGAGACACGGCCCAGACUCCUACGGGAGGCAGCAGUGAGGAAUAUUGGUCAAUGGACGCAAGUCUGAACCAGCCAUGCCGCGUGCAGGAUGACGGCUCUAUGAGUUGUAAACUGCUUUUGUACGAGGGUAAACGCAGAUACGUGUAUCUGUCUGAAAGUAUCGUACGAAUAAGGAUCGGCUAACUCCGUGCCAGCAGCCGCGGUAAUACGGAGGAUUCAAGCGUUAUCCGGAUUUAUUGGGUUUAAAGGGUGCGUAGGCGGUUUGAUAAGUUAGAGGUGAAAUUUCGGGGCUCAACCCUGAACGUGCCUCUAAUACUGUUGAGCUAGAGAGUAGUUGCGGUAGGCGGAAUGUAUGGUGUAGCGGUGAAAUGCUUAGAGAUCAUACAGAACACCGAUUGCGAAGGCAGCUUACCAAACUAUAUCUGACGUUGAGGCACGAAAGCGUGGGGAGCAAACAGGAUUAGAUACCCUGGUAGUCCACGCAGUAAACGAUGAUAACUCGUUGUCGGCGAUACACAGUCGGUGACUAAGCGAAAGCGAUAAGUUAUCCACCUGGGGAGUACGUUCGCAAGAAUGAAACUCAAAGGAAUUGACGGGGGCCCGCACAAGCGGAGGAACAUGUG
rnacentral:rRNA from 1 species